CUUCCGGUCCGGUUAAACGCGGCUUAGGUACACAACGUGGCUGGUGUCGUGCGGAGAUCGGCUUCUGAACGUAAAUCAGCAGGUGAAGAAUCAAGAAUCAGCGUCCGGACUCAGGAGUCUGGAUACCAGUGAAAAGACGGAAAAAAAGAAAAGGAACCUGAAUACGAUCUAUCCGCUGUUUCCGAGGGGCCAACUUCUACAGUGAACCCCUCUGCCCUGGUAACGGCCAAAGAGGAGGAGAUGGCGCCAGUCAGGGAGCGGCUGUGGCCAAGACAGUAAGGAAGCGCGAAGGCGGAGCAACCGGGAAGCCUCCUGAGAAGAAUCCGAACUGUCGCUGUCACCACUGCCGCCAACACCAUGGAAGGAGCAAAACCGACAUUGCAGCUUGUGUACCAGGCAGUGCAGGCGCUUUACCACGACCCGGAUCCCAGCGGAAAGGAGCGCGCCUCGUUUUGGCUUGGGGAGCUGCAGCGUUCGGUUCAUGCCUGGGAGAUUUCUGAUCAGUUGUUACAGAUCCGGCAGGAUGUGGAAUCAUGCUAUUUUGCUGCACAGACCAUGAAGAUGAAGAUUCAGACCUCAUUUUAUGAGCUCCCUACAGACUCUCAUGCCUCCUUAAGGGACUCAUUGCUAACCCAUAUCCAGAACUUGAAAGAUUUAUCACCUGUCAUUGUAACGCAGCUGGCUUUAGCAAUAGCAGAUCUCGCUCUACAGAUGCCUUCUUGGAAGGGUUGUGUACAAACAUUGGUGGAAAAAUAUAGCAAUGAUGUAACUUCUCUGCCAUUUUUGCUGGAGAUUCUUACGGUGUUACCUGAAGAAGUUCAUAGUCGUUCUUUACGAAUUGGAGCUAACAGACGCACAGAAAUUAUAGAAGAUUUGGCCUUCUACUCCAGUACAGUAGUAUCUCUGUUGAUGACUUGUGUAGAAAAAGCAGGAACAGAUGAGAAAAUGCUUAUGAAGGUCUUUCGCUGUUUGGGAAGUUGGUUUAACUUGGGAGUUUUGGACAGUAACUUCAUGGCUAACAAUAAGUUACUAGCCCUUCUUUUUGAGGUUUUGCAACAGGAUAAGACCUCAUCUAACCUACAUGAAGCUGCUUCAGACUGUGUGUGCUCAGCUCUUUAUGCCAUUGAGAAUGUGGAAACUACCUUGCCAUUAGCAAUGCAACUUUUUCAGGGAGUCCUGACAUUGGAGACUGCCUAUCAUAUGGCUGUGGCACGUGAAGAUUUAGACAAAGUUCUGAAUUACUGCCGUAUUUUCACUGAACUAUGUGAAACUUUUCUUGAAAAAAUUGUUUGUACUCCAGGCCAAGGUCUUGGGGACCUGCGAACUCUGGAAUUGCUUCUUAUUUGUGCAGGGCAUCCUCAGUAUGAGGUAGUAGAAAUUUCCUUUAACUUUUGGUACCGACUAGGGGAGCAUUUGUACAAAACUAACGAUGAAGUUAUUCAUGGCAUCUUCAAAGCUUACAUUCAGAGGCUGCUUCAUGCCUUGGCUCGACACUGCCAGCUAGAACCGGACCAUGAGGGGGUUCCUGAGGAAACUGAUGACUUUGGCGAGUUUCGGAUGCGGGUAUCAGACCUGGUGAAAGAUUUGAUUUUCUUGAUUGGGUCUAUGGAGUGUUUUGCUCAGUUAUAUUCUACUCUGAAAGAAGGCAACCCACCCUGGGAGGUGACAGAAGCGGUUCUCUUUAUCAUGGCUGCUAUAGCAAAGAGUGUUGAUCCGGAGAACAAUCCAACAUUGGUGGAGGUCCUAGAAGGAGUCGUUCGUCUCCCAGAGACUGUCCAUACAGCCGUGCGAUACACCAGCAUUGAGUUGGUUGGAGAAAUGAGCGAAGUGGUUGAUCGAAAUCCUCAGUUCCUUGACCCUGUGUUGGGCUAUUUGAUGAAAGGCCUAUGUGAAAAGCCUCUGGCUUCUGCUGCAGCCAAAGCCAUUCAUAAUAUUUGCUCUGUCUGUCGAGAUCACAUGGCUCAGCACUUUAAUGGACUCCUGGAGAUUGCUCGUUCUCUUGACUCCUUCAUGUUUUCUCCGGAAGCUGCAGUGGGCUUGCUAAAAGGGACAGCUCUUGUUCUUGCCAGAUUACCGUUGGAUAAGAUUACUGAAUGUCUUAGUGAACUAUGUUCUGUUCAGGUUAUGGCAUUGAAAAAGCUGUUGUCUCAGGAGCCCAGCAAUGGCAUAUCCUCAGAUCCCACUGUGUUCUUAGAUCGCCUGGCAGUGAUAUUUAGACAUACCAAUCCCAUUGUGGAAAAUGGACAGACUCAUCCAUGCCAAAAAGUCAUACAGGAAAUAUGGCCAGUUUUAUCCGAGACUCUAAAUAAACACCGGGCUGAUAAUCGGAUUGUAGAGCGUUGUUGCAGGUGCCUUCGCUUUGCUGUUCGCUGUGUAGGCAAAGGUUCUGCAGCCCUGCUGCAACCACUAGUCACACAGAUGGUGAAUGUAUACCAUGUACAUCAGCAUUCCUGUUUCCUGUACCUUGGCAGUAUCCUUGUUGAUGAGUAUGGCAUGGAAGAAGGCUGUCGGCAGGGACUUCUAGACAUGCUCCAGGCACUGUGCAUCCCUACCUUUCAACUCCUGGAACAGCAGAAUGGUCUCCAGAACCACCCUGACACUGUAGAUGACCUGUUCAGGCUAGCUACCAGGUUUAUUCAGCGUAGCCCUGUCACCUUACUGAGGAGCCAAGUAGUCAUCCCAAUCUUACAGUGGGCCAUUGCCUCUACUACCCUGGAUCACCGGGAUGCCAACUGUAGUGUCAUGAGGUUCCUACGAGACCUCAUCCAUACAGGGGUAGCCAAUGAUCAUGAAGAAGACUUUGAAUUACGAAAAGAACUAAUUGGACAGGUGAUGAACCAGCUUGGACAACAGCUUGUAAGCCAGCUGCUCCAUACAUGUUGCUUUUGUCUCCCCCCCUAUACCUUACCAGAUGUGGCUGAAGUGCUCUGGGAGAUCAUGCAGGUUGACAGACCGACCUUUUGUCGAUGGUUAGAGAAUUCUUUGAAAGGUUUGCCAAAGGAGACAACUGUGGGAGCUGUUACAGUGACACACAAACAACUUACAGACUUCCACAAGCAAGUCACUAGUGCUGAGGAAUGUAAGCAAGUUUGCUGGGCCUUGCGAGACUUCACCAGAUUGUUUCGAUAGCUCACACUCCUGCACUGUGCCUGUCACCCAGUCCAGUCAGCAUUGGAGAUGCACUCAAGCAGCAUUUCAUUAAAGUUCUUAAACUCUGGAAAAGGGGGAGUAGUUGCCAACCUUAAGUAUCCAGUAACACAAAGGCUCAUCAUAUCCAUCUCAGGAAGAAGAAAGAAGAGGAAGCAACACUCAAACUGGGGAACCCCCAAAUCAGGCCCAUGCCCAGCAGAGGCCUUGCUGAGGGACUUGACCCACAACACUUCUUGGCUCUUUUGCCAAAAAAAGGGGUGGGGGGCAACAAUAACUAGGCCCCCAAGGUUGGAGGUGUUCUUUUCCUGCUCUUUUGGCUGCUGGCUGAGUUUCUUCAGAGCUAGAAUGAACAUAGGGUUAGGCCAAAGAAGAUGGAGCCCUUUUAAAGCAGAGCUUUGCAGAGAGAACUUGGUGCUUAGGCCUUUCUUUGUACUUGGCCCAAAUCCACAUUCAGGAGACCCAGAGGUAGGACCUUGCAGCCAGCCAGGCCUUCUGGGGCUAUCACAGCUGAUCAGUCUACAUAGUCACCCAGGAAACCUGGGCCAGCCAGUAUUUGCAGCCCUGUUAUUGCAUGCUGACUGGGUGCAUGGGCCAGGGCCUUUGUUCAGCACCAAGGCCUGCCACUGGAGGGGCCUGGGCCACAGGCUGCAGCUGUUGCUGAGACUGCCAGAUGUGAUGGAGCUCCUUGAACUGCUCCACCAUGUGGUCUUUGAGGUCUGGGUUUGAGAUCUGUAGGCGAAUGCUGUCAGCUGACCAAGAAAGCUCCCCUGAGAACAUCUCCAGCAGCAACCUGGCUGCAACAGGCACGACCUGGGAGACAAAGAAGAGAGAAAACUAGUGGCAGGGCUGCCAGAUCCCACUGGGCAUGAAAGUGGUAGACUGCCUCCUCCAGCCCUGAGCCUUGGUCAUUUCUUGACAACCAAGUUCUUACCUCCCAGAGAGCCCUGACCCCCACCCUGGGUCAAGGGCCAGCCCUGUAUGCGCCAGUACUCAAGCCAAGGCAGUGGGGCUGAGGGGCACACCUGUACAGUAAUGAGCUUCUUCUCUCGGGGUUUUCGGUCAGGCCACUCUUCCCCGAAACAGAAGAAAAUCUCAAAGGGUGGUGGGGCACUGGUCUGGCCCUUCUGGAACAGGAUGAGCUCUGCAUUAAGAUCAAGACACCUAGUUAGUCAGAGGCUAGAACCAUGCCCUGGGGGAGAGGCAGCCAGGAGGAACUUGUGGAGUCUCACCAUUGAGAAACUGCUCCAGGCUGAAGAGCUUGGUCUUGACCUCCCGCUGGAUGGGGUUGGGGCUUGAGCCAUGGGCUGUGGCACAGGGCCCGCUCCAGAACACCUUGCAUUGGCAGAGACGGAUGGCAUACAGGUCUUGACCCUGCAACUGGAGGAUGAGCCCUCGGUCUAGGACAUCCAGCAGCUGGUUGGUGUAGAAGCGUUGCUUGUCGCUGGGGAUGUCCUCAGGGCUGGGGAAUCGCACUUGCUCCAGGCUCACAGGGCCAAAGAGUUCCACCUGCUCUUGGGUGGCCUCCAGUUGGCUAUAGAAGAGCCGGCAGCCUUGUGGGUUGCUGAUGGUAAGGGCACAGGGUGGCCGCCCCCGGUAUUGGAACUUGAUCUCCAGGUCUGUCACUGUGGGGCAGAGGGGCAGGCCACCCCAGCCAUGAGCCUCCCCACCUGUUCUGCAGCCAGGAACAAGCCCAACCUCAGCGGCUCUCUCACUUUCUCCCUCCCAGCUUCCCGCGGGGCUGGCAUACAUACUUUUGUUCUUUCCCGUCAUCCUCCACCUUCCUUGCCAGCUCUACCACAAUCUCCAGCACUGUACCCACCCCCAGCACACCCAGGUUCCUUACAAGGCAGCAUAUGGGGGCUGAUCAGCAGGUCAGGCAAGAGUUGCUCUCCUGUAGGGGGCAGGCUGGCAUCCAGGGGCCCAGGCUCCACGUUCGGCAGGACCCCAGGGAGAAGAUGCCCAAAGCCAGCAGCGUCGCCAUGAGGAGGUGCCAGGAGGUUGGGGGCUGGAGCUGGGGGACCCAGCCCCACAGGUGGCUGGAGAGCUGGUGACCACUUGGCAUCUUCUUUGGGUAAAUAGGAUGCCAUUGGGGGGCCAGGCUGCACUGUUUCUACAGACAGUGGGGUGGACAGAGCCAUUAAAGCCACCUCUAGAAAAUGCCUCCCAGGCCCACCAACUCCCACCUCCUGCCAACCCUCAGCCUCCUUUCAGCCCCCUCCCAAGUACCUAUGGUACUUGUCACUUCUUAUGCUAGACCCCCAACCGUACUACCUCCAAGCCCCACCUGUGAUGCUCAGGCCUGGUAACAUCCUCUGGAGCUAAAGAGAAGACAUGGGCAAAAGAGAAGAAGGCAGAGAGAAAGGAAGGCAGGUUAUUAAACUGUUCUGAUGCUGAGAAAAUAAGGCUGGAGAAGCACAAGGCUGUCCCCUCCUUUCUUCAGCUCAGCUGAGGCCAGACCCUACCUCCAGAGAGUCCAACCUUUAUGAGGGUCAAUCAGUCAAUGUGACAUGCUGUGUAACAACACAGCCCAGGGAGGGACAAGGUAGGCACUCUGUUCCUGUCCUUCAGAUCCCCAAGAAAAUAAAAAAGAGCCGCAGAGGGCCAUGGGCUCCAGAGGAAGGGACCGCUCAACCCUAAAAUAGGGGAGGGCAGCAAAGCCCAUCUCGUCGGUCAGUGGUCAGUGCAGGCAGCUGGAUGCAGCCACCUCCUCACUGCCCUGCCCCCACGCACCUCUUCUUCUUCCUCCUCUUCUUCUGUACAUACACUAUAAUCCUCAGUGGGCUGGGACUCUGCACAGCAAGGGAGAGAAAAGGACAGGAGGGGAAUCAGUGACAAUGCAGGAGUUGGGACAUCCAGGCUCCAUUUGGGCAGCCUGAGAGGUUUCCCAAAAGCCCUGCUGGGCCUUCUGCCCUCCCCAAAGCUAUCCAAACACAGGAUGAGAUGAAAGGCACCACCACCAGGAACUGGUAGGGACCUCUCCCCUGACGCCAAGAGCCCAGAACAAUGGCGGUGGUGAGGAAGAACCAUCUGGGCCCCUGAAUCCAUUCCAAGCCCUGGAGUAAUGACCUUGCAAAGCCCCAGCACCAUGUCCUAGAAGGGCCCUGGGCCUUCCUACAUUCACAGUAAGCCUCCCAGGUGGUCCAUACAGGACCAGGCAUGGUACCUGUGGGAGCAGGGCCAUUGGAGCAGACCUCGUAGAUCUUGUAGGGUUGAGGCGGCAUGUCCCGGGGCCCAUCAUAGAUGAGGCGGAAGUCCCGGCUCUUGUUAAGGGCACAGCGCAGGUUGGCCUUCCACUUGGCUGGAUCAGCCUCGUCCACCCCCUCAGUAUAUUUCCCCGUCUCCUUGGCCCAGGCCUGGGACAGGAAGAGAGGACAGUUGACCAUGGAGAACCUCACUCCUUGAAGCCCCAGCUAUCCUUUUCUCUACCUUCCUGUCCUAUAGGAGUCCUUGCUGAGAUCUGUGGCCAUAGGCUGAGCCUUGUUGAGCUGAGGGACUCAUCUGCAACAAGUGGAUGUGAAAUAGUCCUUCUCUUGGGGUUCCAACAAGCUCAAUAAACCCCGCAAGCUUUAAGGGGUAUCCACGAUUCACUGCUCCUAGCAGGGCAAAGAGGUAUAGUUUCUACAUAGGACAAAGUUACAUGGUGGAUAUGGGUACAUAAUCUGGAGCCAGGCUGGUAUCGAAACCAGCAUGUGCCACCUGCCAUGUCACUCUGCCUCUCUUUGCUUCAUCCUCCUCAUAAUACCUAUUCACAGGGUAUCAGUGAGGGCUCCAAGAGUCAAUGCCCAUAAAGUACUCAAAACUGUGCCUUUAUAUAGAAUGGGAUGGAUGUGCUUCAGCUAUUGGUACGCUGCUCCUACUGCUGCUGCUGAUGGUGAUGUUGAGGAUGCUUGCUAAGGUCUAUCACUGAACUACACCCCCAGCUGCUACUAUUAUUUUAGAUGGCAAUUUGGUGAUGUCAGGAUUACAAAAGUUUCUACCCUCAAACCCAGCAACUGGGUUUCUAUAGAAUUAUAUAGACUAGCCAGUCACAAUGGUGCAUGCCUGUAAUCUCAGGAGGCUGAGGCAGGAGGAUCUCAAGUUCAAAACCAGCCUCAGCAACUUAGCAAGGCCCUAAGCAACUUAGCAAGAUUCCCCCUUCCUUUUUUUUUUUUUCUUGUGGUACCCAGAAUUGAGGCCAGAAUAAAAAAUAAAAAGGGCUGAGGAUACAGCUCUGUGGCUAAGCACCCACAAUCCCAGGUACCAAAGAAAAAAUUAGACUUAACACAAAAUUUUAUACAUACAGCUUAUUCACUGUAGCACUAUUUGUAAAAGCAAAUGAUCUGUGAUAUCCAAUGUCCAUAGUGGGGGCUGGUUAAAUUAUGUCUAGCUGGUUAAAUUAUGAUCAGCUCAGAGAAUUGAAUAUGCAGGAAGAGAAAGGAGGGAACUUUUUAUACACUGAUUGAUCUUAAAGAAAUAUGAAGUGCAGACAGUAUGUAUACCGCUAGCAUUUUUGUGAAAAGCUGGGAAAAGAUAGGUGGUAUUUUGCUUGUCUGCACGGAAAUCUCUCAGGAAAGAUAAACAAGAAUCUGAGGUUGAGGCAGGAGGAUUGCAAGUUCAAAGCCAGCCUCAGCAACUUAGUGAGGCCCUAAGAAACUUAGUGAGACCCUGUCUCUAAAUAAAAUACAAAAAAAGGGCUGAGGAUAUGGCUCAGUGGUUGAGCGGCCCUGGGUUCAAUUCCUGGUACUAAAACAAAACAUGGAAUCUGAUAAAACUAUUGCCUCUAGGGAGUGGAGUGGAUAGCUGGGACAAGGGUGCAAGGGAGACUUUGCUGUAAAUCAUUUUAUACCAUUUUCAUUUUGAAUUAUGUAACUGUUAUAUAUUGAAAAAUAAGAAAUGGAUUUGAAAAAGAACUCUGAAAAGGGAAGUUCAGGUACAAAUAUUAAGAAACAUGUAUCCAGGGGCUGGGGAUGUGGCUCAAGCGGUAGCGCGCUCGCCUGGCAUGCGUGCGGCCCGGGUUCGAUCCUCAGCACCACAUACAAACAAAGAUGUUGUGUCCGCUGAGAACUAAAAAAUAAAUAUUAAAAAAUUUUCUCUCUCUCUCUCUCUCUCUCUCUCUCUCUCUCUCUCUCCCCUACUCUCUCUUUAAAAAAAAAAAGAAA